GAUGAACGCUGGCGGCGUGCCUAAUACAUGCCAGUCGAGCGAACGGACGAGAAGCUUGCUUCUCUGAUGUUAUCGGCGGACGGGUGAGUAACACGUGGAUAACCUACCUAUAAGACUGGGAUAACUUCGGGAAACCGGAGCUAAUACCGGAUGAUAUUUUGAACCGCAUGGUUCAAAAGUGAAAGACGGUCUUGCUGUCACUUAUAGAUGGAUCCGCGCUGCAUUAGCUAGUUGGUAAGGUAACGGCUUACCAAGGCAACGAUGCAUAGCCGACCUGAGAGGGUGAUCGGCCACACUGGAACUGAGACACGGUCCAGACUCCUACGGGAGGCAGCAGUAGGGAAUCUUCCGCAAUGGGCGAAAGCCUGACGGAGCAACGCCGCGUGAGUGAUGAAGGUCUUCGGAUCGUAAAACUCUGUUAUUAGGGAAGAACAUAUGUGUAAGUAACUGUGCACAUCUUGACGGUACCUAAUCAGAAAGCCACGGCUAACUACGUG
rnacentral:rRNA from 1 species